AAUAUUUGACGCCGUUGACUUUUUUAAACAUGUUUGACCGUUCGUCUUAUUCAAAAAAUUUAAGUAAUUAUUAAUUUUUUUUCUAUCAUUUGAUUCAUUGUUAAAUAUACUUUAGUGUAUACAUAUAGUUUUACAUAUUUCACAAAAGUUUUUGAAUAAGACAAAUGGUCAAACAUGUUUAAAAAAGUCAACGGCGUCAAACAUU
rnacentral:pre_miRNA from 1 species